GACCAGUUAGCUCAGUUGGCAGAGCAUCUCCCUUUUAAGGAGAGGGUCCUGGGUUCGAGCCCCAGACUGGUCACUA
rnacentral:tRNA from 2 species